rnacentral:rRNA from 1 species
GGGCCCGCACAAGCGGUGGAGCAUGUGGUUUAAUUCGAUGAUACGCGAGGAACCUUACCAGGGCUUAAAUGUAAGUUGCAUAGAUCAGAGAUGGUCUUUUCUUCGGACUACUUACAAGGUGCUGCAUGGUUGUCGUCAGCUCGUGCCGUGAGGUGUCAGGUUAAGUCCUAUAACGAGCGCAACCCCUGUCGUUAGUUACCAGCAAGUAAUGUUGGGUACUCUAGCGAGACUGCCGGUGCAAACCGUGAGGAAGGUGGGGAUGACGUCAAAUCAUCACGGCCCUUACGUCCUGGGCUACACACGUGCUACAAUGGCCGGUACAGAGAGCAGCCACUACGCGAGUAGGAGCGAAUCUUCAAAGCCGGUCUCAGUUCGGAUCGCAGUCUGCAACUCGACUGCGUGAAGCUGGAAUCGCUAGUAA